AGCUAUACCAUGUUGAAGAACUGGUUUUCACCCGAUCUCUGCAGUUAAGUAACAUUGAGCCUGGUCAGUGCCUAGAUGGGUAACCGCUUGGGAAUACCAGGUACUGUAAG